rnacentral:rRNA from 1 species
AUUGAACGCUGGCGGCAGGCCUAACACAUGCAAGUCGAACGGUAACAGGAAGAAGCUUGCUUCUUUGCUGACGAGUGGCGGACGGGUGAGUAAUGUCUGGGAAACUGCCUGAUGGAGGGGGAUAACUACUGGAAACGGUAGCUAAUACCGCAUAACGUCGCAAGACCAAAGAGGGGGACCUUCGGGCCUCUUGCCAUCGGAUGUGCCCAGAUGGGAUUAGCUAGUAGGUGGGGUAACGGCUCACCUAGGCGACGAUCCCUAGCUGGUCUGAGAGGAUGACCAGCCACACUGGAACUGAGACACGGUCCAGACUCCUACGGGAGGCAGCAGUGGGGAAUAUUGCACAAUGGGCGCAAGCCUGAUGCAGCCAUGCCGCGUGUAUGAAGAAGGCCUUCGGGUUGUAAAGUACUUUCAGCGGGGAGGAAGGGAGUAAAGUUAAUACCUUUGCGCAUUGACGUUACCCACAGAAGAAGCACCGGCUAACUCCGUG